rnacentral:rRNA from 1 species
CCUACGGGAGGCAGCAGUGGGGAAUAUUGCACAAUGGGCGAAAGCCUGAUGCAGCAACUCCGCGUGAAGGAAGAAGGUUUUCGGCUCGUAAACUUCUAUCAACAGGGACGAAAGAAAUGACGGUACCUGACUAAGAAGCCCCGGCUAACUACGUGACAGCAGCCGCUGUACUACGUUGUGGGCAAGCGUUAUCCGGAAUUACUGGGUGUAAAGGGUGAGUAGGCGGCAUGUUAAGCUAGAUGUGAAAGCCUUGGGCUUAACCCGAGGAUUGCAUUUUGAACUAUCAAGCUAGAGUACAGGAGAGGAAAGCGGAAUUCCUAGUGUAGCGGUGAAAUGCGUAGAUAUUAGGAAGAACACCAGUGGCGAAGGCGGCUUGCUGGAAUGAAACUGACGCUGAGGCACGAAAGCGUGGGGAGCGAACAGGAUUAGAUACCCCUGUAGUC